ACAAACAGGUCACAGGCCAGAGCCCUCAAGCCAAAGUACAAUGCCUUGUUGUCCUUGACUGAACCACCAGCGCAAAGAAUAAGAGGGAGAAGUGAAACAGACAGAAAGAAGAAGAAGCAUGAGGAUUCGUACUGGGUGAGAAGACGAGCUUGGACGUCCUGGGCCAAGGGGUCCAGCUUUUCCAUCAGAUCAGUGACAUAAGGGUGGAGUGAAGCUUAAUUGGUGUUAACGAAGGAGUCGUAGAGGGUUUGAAAACGAGCCUUGAUGUCCUGGGCCAAGGGGUCCAGCUUUUCCUUCAGCUUUUCAACGUAUGGAGCAGUCGUAUCUUUCACCUGCUGGGCUCUCAGCGUCAAGUCGCUUGAAAUCUUCUCUGCCAGAGGAGCCAUCCUAUCAACAAUGGGAUCAAGCUUUUUCUUGAAGGGACCUGCGUCCAGAAUGCUUCACCAUACGUGCUGGCCACUUUGGCACCCUCUUCUAGACGGGCACUGAACAUAGGAAUGAACCAGAAGAUAAGAAUCAGUCAUUAUUCCCUGUUCUUGUUUGGAGGACUGCUUAUCAGUGAAGUCCAUCCAGAUCACAUUAUAAAUGUGUUACGUGAUCAACCUACCUCAGAUCCUGUCCAAACUCAGUCUGCUGGAACUUUUCAACAGUCUCAUCAGUCGUCUGUUUGGCUACAUUGACAUAAUCCCAGAAUGUAUCAGUCAGCUCGUCCAGCUUUGUCUUGGGUUGAUCAGCAUA